rnacentral:lncRNA from 1 species
UGCAAUAUGAAUAAAUAGAGUAAUAUUUAUUCAUUUUCUCCGACUUUACUAAACCCGAUGGGAAAACCAACAAUAAUGGGUAUUGAGUAGCUAAGUUCUCUUCUACAAAAUAUGUUAAAUACAGUUUCUAUGACCUUGCAGCCUGUGCCCUCCAAAUCUUGAUCUUGGUCGUACGGGUGGAUGAAAGCAGCCAUCCUCUAUCUUGAACGUGGCAUUUUGUCCUUCGAGAAGGGACGGCUUCUUUCUU